UAGCAUCUCCACAGCUCCUGGCCACCAGGAGGCACAGGGUUCUGCUUUGGAUCUCAGGAGACUCCCUUCCCCGCAACCUCCCUGUGUCUCGAUUCCUGUCUCUACGGAGCAGGCACUGCUGUCCUAUGCUUUGCCUUUCCUUUCCGGGUUUAAACACUGGCAAGGCAUAGAGUGGGACUAGGAGAGGAGAACAGGCUCCUCCCCUCUGGAAGUAUCCACCAAACACCACUCAGAGAGGCUCUGAGCACAGGGGCCUUCCCUGCAGCAAACCGAAACUGAAACAAAACACCCCAGAAACCCAUGCAAGCCCUGGGAGGCUGUGGGCUGAUGGAUGUCCUGGGCUCGAGUCCCAGCCCUGGCCCUGUUGGGGGCCGAACAAGCCUGGACUGACAGGCUUGGGCUCUCCUCUCUUCACCUGCCAUGACUCCUGCUGCCAGGGACACCAAGGUCCUGGGGCCUCCAGCUCGGCAGGGGGCAGUCAGAUCCCCAACCAGACCCCAACCAACGCCCGCAGGCCUGGCCCUUCCACAAACUUGCCAGCGACCCGGGGACCCUGGACCCCAUGGUGACAGCAGGGCCUGCCUUCCCCACCAGCUGGCUGGGCUGUCCUGCCUGGACCCUGGACCCUGGCUCAGAACGUGGUUGUUGCUGGGCAUCCCUGAGCUGAGAGCACCCUGCCCCACGGGCCUCCGAGGGCACGGGGACCCCAGCAGGGCUGGCCAUUUAUUCCCGCGCUGUGCCUGAAACGUGCAAUUAACACAGGCUGGUUAAUUACCCCGAGCAAGGAGACAUUCUUCCACCACCAGGCAAACUGCUGGCCUGCAGCCCAAACCAACAGGGGGAAACUUCAGCCGCCUCGGCCCUCUCUCUGCCAGAUGGAAAUAACGUAUAGCUGCAGCGGUGGGGGAGGAGGGAGGAACAAAAACCAGCUCGGCCCGGGGGCCAGACCGGAACCCCAGUGGACGGCCAUUGGCCAGGGCACUCACCGCUCUCGUUCUUCUCGAUGACAUCCACCACCUCCCCGGCCUGGAGGCUCAGCUCCGAGUUCUCCUGCUUCUUAUAGUUGGACACCACCACGUACUGUUCCAGGAUCAUGGGCUCGGCGGUGGCGUCGGCACCUGGCGAGGGCAGAAAGCACGCGGUGAAGAAAUGAGCCAUAGAGAAGGACUUGCCCAAGAUCACACAGCAGGCAGAGCCGGGACAUGAAACUAAGCAUUCUGGCUCCAGAGUCCACGUUUUUAACUCAACGGAAUACUCAGCAAUGGCUGAGUCUACGCCCUGUCGUCCCCUCCUGGGUCUCACAGAAUGGAAAUAAAUGUCUCAACUCAAAGACCAACUUCUCCCCUUCUUUCUUAAUCUAU
rnacentral:lncRNA from 10 species